rnacentral:rRNA from 1 species
AACGUAGGAGACAACCGUUAUCCGGAGUUACUGGGCGUAAAGGGCGUGUAGGUGGUUUAGUAAGUCUGGCGUGAAAUUUUUCGGCUUAACCGGGAAAGGUCGUCGGAUACUGCAAGACUAGAGGACGGUAGAGGCGUGUGGAAUUCUGGGUGUAGUGGUGAAAUGCGUAGAGAUCCGGAGGAACACCAGUGGCGAAGGCGACACGCUGGGCCGUACCUGACACUGAUGCGCGACAGCAUGGGGAGCAAACAGG